rnacentral:rRNA from 1 species
GACGAACGCUGGCGGCGUGCCUAAUACAUGCAAGUCGAGCGGACGAAUCGAAAGCUUGCUUUUGAUUCGUUAGCGGCGGACGGGUGAGUAACACGUGGGCAACCUGCCCUGUAGACGGGGAUAACACCGAGAAAUCGGUGCUAAUACCGGAUAACACGAAAUGUCGCAUGACGUUUCGUUGAAAGACGGCGCAAGCUGUCGCUACAGGAUGGGCCCGCGGCGCAUUAGCUAGUUGGUGAGGUAACGGCUCACCAAGGCGACGAUGCGUAGCCGACCUGAGAGGGUGAUCGGCCACACUGGGACUGGGACACGGCCCAGACUCCUACGGGAGGCAGCAGUAGGGAAUCUUCCGCAAUGGACGAAAGUCUGACGGAGCAACGCCGCGUGAGCGAAGAAGGCCUUCGGGUCGUAAAGCUCUGUUGUUAGGGAAGAACAAGUAACGCAGUAACUGGCGUUACCGUGACGGUACCUAACGAGAAAGCCACGGCUAACUACGUG